rnacentral:rRNA from 1 species
AUUGAACGCUGGCGGCAGGCCUAACACAUGCAAGUCGAACGAGUGGCGGACGGGUGAGUAAUGUCUGGGAAUCUACCUGAUGGAGGGGGAUAACUACGGGAAACUGUAGCUAAUACCGCAUACCAUCGGAUGAGCCCAUGUGGGAUUAGCUAGUUGGUGAGGUAACGGCUCACCUAGCCGACGAUCCCUAGCUGGUCUGAGAGGAUGACCAGCCACACUGGGACUGAGACACGGCCCAGACUCCUACGGGAGGCAGCAGUGGGGAAUAUUGCGCAAUGGGGGCAAGCCUGACGCAGCCAUGCCGCGUGUAUGAAGAAGGCCUUCGGGUUGUAAAGUACUUUCGGUAGCGAGGCGUUAACUACAGAAGAAGCACCGGCUAACUCCGUGCCAGCAGCCGCGGUAAUAC